CACACACACAUUAUUGUGACAUCCAAGCCCAAAUACCAAAGGUUAUUUCUUUUCAUUGGAAAGACUGUGGUACUUUAUUUGCCAAUUCAGAAACUCGCUCCAUCUGUCUCAGUUGUUGACCCCUUGGGAAUGACCCUUCACCCACCUUCCCUGCUGGUGGAGGUCAGAAGGUCAAAAGUGCCCGAUGGCAGAAACAGUGCCUGGGAGCUUCCACUCUGUCAGGCUCUCUCAGGGCUUCCCACCAUGUGUGAGCGUGUGUGCGUGAAUGUCUGAAUGCAGUGUGACAUACGUUGAGGUCCGCUGGACUUGAAAAAGUGGUGUGGAACAACAGGCCAUUUACCACUUACCACUGAGAUGAUCACAGCAGGUUCUGAAGCUGUUUGUGCUGCGAAUGUUGUAAAACUGAUUGCACAUUUCAACGGCCUCCUGAAAAACCACAAACCACCCUGAGUUUCUCAGCAAUCCCACAGUGAGCGCAGUACAUUACUGCUCACAAAGGGCAAAGAACAUAAGUUUCUGUAACCAUACAUCUUGGCCAGUGCAGACAGACGUGGCUAAGCUAAGAGCUGCUUCCAGGCUUCACUAACAUCACACACAGGAGACAGAAAUGCUGCCACUACAGAAACACAGGUGUGCACUUCCUUGUUGAUGGACUACAGAAGACCACCCGUAUCGUGGCUCACUUUUAUUCUGUAAAGAAAUCUUAGAUGUGAAGGGGGUCUUUGGUAGCAUUUCCUAAUGUUCAGAAACUCCUAAAACACCUGUGCAGUGUUUUAGGUUACUUCUCACAACAGGUUUUUAUUUCCUAAAGCUUAUUUUACAGUACUGUAGAAACAUUAAGGUUGUGUGUAAGAGAUCAAUUAAAGCCGACGUGGCUCACCCUCCAACAAAUCGACCCGCAAAAGCAGAAGAGCUGUACUGUUUUUGUCUUUCCUGAGAAGCUAAGAAUAGACAGAUCAUUUGAAUCAAUUUUCCGUUGAAACACUAAGUUGAGCAAUCGUUUCCUGCCGAGUAUACUUGAGCCAAAUCUUUACGAGAAAAAACCCCCAAACAAACUUCUGGCCACUUUGACAAACAGAAGCAGCUUGGCAGAACAUAAUAAAGCAAUGUCUUAUUGUGAAAUGCAAACCAGUUGUAUUUGUUCAGUCAUCUGCGUUUGACUGGCUUCCCACACUUUUUGAAUGAAACCUUCCUGAACCUGAACGGGAAAUAGUAACCUUGCACUGAAACAUGCAUCGCUGAAAAUCAGUGGACUUUUUUCAUCUGAAGGGUGAGUUCAUGAGUCAAGCUUCCAUUUUCGUUGUUAGAUCAAAAUAACAAUAAACAUAGGAAUGUUCCCACAGAUCAGCUUGUAUCAUUUCCAUUUUAACCAUGUCAGGAGGUCAUUGGAUGUUCACUUAUUUCAGAAUGCAUUUUUUCAGAUUGCAUGCAAAGAGGAAGAAGAAAAUAAAAGUGAACUUUGUCCUUUACUCUUAUGAAGGUUGCAUGAAAUGAGUUGUACUGCACAGAGCUUGGAAAAACAACAACAACAACAACAAAAAACAAACAAUGACAAAAGGUGGAAAGAGAUGGCCCCCGGAGGGCUAAAACCUUCACCAUUCCCCUGACAGACUAACCUGAAAACUAAAAAGUGUGAUUACUCACACCCUCCUACCAUGACAGACAUCACGGCUCUCACUUCCUGUGUGGAAAGCAAUUUUUCUUUUUUUGAAUGUGUGUGGGGUUCCAAUCAAGUGUGAGCUGAAGAAGUGGCAGUUAUACCAGAUGCUGGUGGUGCAAGAAAAAGCAGUUUAAUACGGUACUCAAAAUAUAGAGCAAGAAACUUCUUGAUUUGUUGCAUUUCUAAUUUAGCAGAGCAAACAGAUAAAGAGGAAAUCAGAGAGCUGCUGGACCCUACACAGGUAAGAAAAAGAACCAUACAGCUUGUUGUUUGAUGGUUAGACAGGAUGUUCCUCUGUAAGAUAAUUUUGAAGUUUAAACAUGUUUGUUUACUUUAAUUACAUGCAACGAUUUGAGUGUGUAAAUUAUUCUAUGCUUUAAAUGUAAAUAAAAAGUGUUUUAAGUGAUCUAGAAAGAUCAGUGCUGCUCAUCUAAACUCAGAUUUUUCAUAAAAAAGAUUCUUUAGAAAUAAGCUCUGGUGUGAAUACCAUGAUGCAGUUAAAUGUGCUUUGCUUUUAGGUGGGAUGGUGAAUUUCUUAAGGUAUUGCAGCAUCAACUCUUUGUUGAUAUGUUGCAUCUUCGGGAUUUUCUGGCCAGCAGGUACAACUUCCUUAUGAAUAGAUAACGAAAGACGAUUAUAUGUGCAAUGCUGUUUAAAACUUUAAGCCAUUAUUAGUUUCUUCAUGUUGCGUUAACAAGAAGCCUGACUUUCUUGUAAUUCUGUAAAUUGGUCUUUUAGUAGUUAGUUUUCAGAAGUCCAUCAAGUUUUUCUUUAGACUAGUUUAUUUUGAGAAUCGAAGAGAUUCAUCGUCCCUCAGUUGAUUGACUCUAUGUCAACAUAAGUUUAGCUCUUUAGAAGUGACGUUGGUGCCAAACCUUUGUUUAAUGGGUCCAGAUGUGUUUGGUUUGAUCUGUUGGCUUUGGUUUAGAGAUAAACAACGCAGGUUGAUAUGAAGGCAGAUUGGCUGGUAACAAAAUGGCUGAGGGAUCCAAUUGAAAAUCUGUUUUCUGUUAAAUCAUUGUUAAUAUUGAUAGAAAUUGGCAAAGUGCUGGAUCAUCCCUUGACGUUAGGAGCCGUAUUAUGCGUCGAUCAGUUAUACUUAAGAGUAAAAUUACUUAAAUGAUAAACUGACAUUUAAAAAAAAAAAGCACAAAUAAAAUAUUUUCUAAACACAGUGAAAGCAAAUACUAAUCAAGAUGACUUUAAAUGAUUGAAAGAGAGUCAGGCUUCUUGGAAACUAAAUGUUUAAAUGGCUGCUUUUUGUGUAAAAUGUUUGAUCAUCAUAUCUUUGGGUUUACUUAUCUAAUUGUUGUUUUGUUUGAACCGAUUUGUUUUAGUUUUACUUUUGCUUCUUUUUCCUACUUCUGUCAUUCACUAUCAUUUCCACAUUUUUGCUCUGUUCCAGCUUUGGUUUCUCCUGCCUUCUUCACACAUCAUUCUCCUCUUGUGGUUUAUGUUCUGUCAGGAAAUUUCUGUUUUGUUUUUCAUUCAUCAAGAAGUAGGUGAUAGGUUGACACACUAUUUUGUUGUCUGACAUAAUGGGGAAGCAAAAGAAAGUCAACCAAUAUGUCAGGAAGACAAAUUAGGAGUUUGAAAAGUCUGGUUAAUCUUUGAGGAAAACUUUCCAGAUUCUUGAAUUCGCCGUGUUGGUGUUUUCAGACAUGAUUGGAAUGCCCAACCAUCCUACCCCUCAUGAAGGAGGCUCUGUGUUCCAGAGAUUAACAUGUCAUGACAGAGUCAUUAUCCAGAAAAAUGGACAAAGACAAUCAUUAUAAGAGAUAUGUCCUCUGGUCAAUGCUGUGGUAUUGUGAUUAUAUUUGGAGGAAAAGUGAGGAGUCUUGUGAUUCUUGGAACACCGUGUUAGCUGUGAAGCACUGGAGUGAGAGCAGCAUGUUGUGGGGCUGCAGGAGGAACUGGCACACUUCAUGAAAUAGAUGGUAUCAUGAAGAAAGAACAAUACGUGGAAAUACUGAAGUAACAUCUACAGACGCCAGCUAAGAAACUAAAGCUGAAGUGUAAGUGGCUAUUCCUAAUGGACAAUGACCCUGAGUAGAAGGCCAAAGAGGUUACAGAGUGAUUUAAGGACAACAGUGUUAAUGUUGUGAUUGAACUAUCACAAAUCCCUGAUCUCAAACAAAUCAAGAACGAACAUGCGGCACAUUAAAUUCCUGGGAAUUCAUGUGAUGCAUGUUCGUUCUUGGUCAGUCGCAGUCUCUGCAUGUCCAAACUGGUUAUAAGGGGCAAACCAAUGUCUGCACCGAUGAACCAAUGUUUAAGUUGUCAUUAAUCAAAGGCAGCUCCAAUCACAUUCAUUUUUAGGCUUCAUUUACAGGAAGUCAUUGUUUCACCACUUUCUAGUUAUAGUUAACUACUACGCCAUACCAUAGUAUUACGCCAUACUGCAGAUACUUGCGCUUUACUGACACUUAUUAUGUAUUUUUGUGCAAUGUAAUUCCCCUUAGCAUUGUGCAUUGACAAAGUGCUGAGUGAUAAAACAGUAAAUUUUGAAUCUUGAGAUGCUUGUAGAGGCCAACAAUAUAUGUGACCCAAGUCAUGCAGCUGGCAGUGCUGACACAAAAAUGUACGUAAAUUUAGGAUAUUUAAGACAUUCAUGAAUAAAUAUCUCACAUAUUUUUUCUCUCAAAUAUUUUUGUUAAUUCUGAUUGUCUUAAAACAACAGACGUUUGGUCUUACUUUGCUUCAGGCAAUGAGAAAAAAAGUGUCUGUAGCUUGCACACAAACUUUUAGUUUCGACUCUAUACAUUAUCUUUAGAAAAAUCCAGAUUAGUAAGUUGUGGUUGCUGUAAAAAAAAAAAUUAAUUAGAUACUCUCCAAAUAACAUAAGCUUGAGCUGUGUUCUUGAGUUGAAAGCAGACAAAGCAACAAAAAGCAACAACUUUUUGCGUGAAUACUUUGGAGAGGGGUAGCUAAACAUUGAAUAUUAGUCCCAGGUUUGAUCAAGUGAUCGUUAUAGAAAACUGACAAACCAAACAGCGACAAAUAGUAACUCACACAAGAACAACAAACUUUUCAUCUUAACAGAUGCAGGAGGCUUCAUAAAUGGCACACAGCAGGUACAGUUCAAGAUGUGAUGUUUUACGUAAUGAGUUUCAUUUCUAGGCUUUUUGAUUCACCAGCAAGAUGGAAAAAAAGUGACGGCAUCUUUUAAAUUUUUUCACUCUGAUGUUACCCUGAUUGUCCUUAUUGUUAUUAACUGUGGUAUGUUAAAUGUGGUUAUGGUCAUUCCUACGUAGUCUGAGCUGUUAGCUGUGAUCUAUUUGUACGUUUUCAUCACCUUGUGUAGCUUGUUUGUUCAACACGGCUUCUCGUUUGUGUUUUUAGAUUUGUUUUCCUAUUUUAUUAUUAUUAUUUCUGAGUCAGUGCUCAGUGCUUGUCUAAUGACGUCCUUUUCUUUACUCUUCUUUCACACAGAAGCAAAAACAGUCACACAGGCGGCAGGCAGCAGAGUGAUCCUGAACUGUACUGACUCAAACAAAACCAUAAAAAUGGCAACUUGGAGUUUUAAUGAAAAGGUUCUUAUCUCCUUCAGAAGUCCAAAAAAUAAAAGUAUGUUAGAUGAAGGUGUCCGCCUUAACGUAGAUAUGUCUGAAUUAAAAAGUGAGCUAUAUGCACUCACCAUUGAAGACGCCCAGAAGUCACAUGAAGGAAACUACACUUGCAGAAUGACUACAUCUUCAGGACUUUUGAAUGAGCUCUGGGAGCUUGUAAUUACAGAAGAAAACAGAAGCACCAACACACUGAAUAUUAUCGUCAUAGCUGCUGUCCCUUCUGUAUGUUUCUUAAUAUUAAUAUCUGCGUUGGUCAUUCUGAAACAAAGAAAAAAGUAAGUGCUUACUGUUGGAGUUUUGAUCAUGACAACAAUGUCUUCCUGGGUCGAAACUAAAUUUCUAUCUCUUUCACAGGAACAAAUCUCCUUCAGAAAUACGGGUAAAUAAAACUUUACAAUUUAUUAGUUAUGUUUUACUCACUUUUAGGGACCAAAGUGUCCGACACAUUGUUCGCUCAAUACUUCAGGAAAAACAGUGAUUAAAGGAAGAUCGUGUCACUUUGUACAAUUACUGUGCAACCUCAACCUCCCAAAUAAUAUAUUUGUAAGUUUGCAAAAGGAAAACAAUAUUUGUAUUAUAAAAGGAUAAUAUAUGUCUUCCAGUCAAUAAGCAAAUCUUUACUUUCAGAAAAAGAGGGAAAUAUGAAGCUGAGUGCUUAGAAUACAUUGCAAUUUAAGAUGGGACAUGGAUUUCAUAGCAGAUACUGAGAGAUUUCAAGGGCAGAUUUCUUUCAUUCUUAAUCAUUUUAGGUCAUCAAACCAGUCCCAUCAGACAAGGUUAACUGGAGUAAAUGCAAAAUGUAGAUUUCAAAUGAUGAUUUUAUCUACAAGUGCAAAGAUGCGCUCCUCGCCAACCUGGCCUUGUUAAAAUACUACGGCCCUUCUUGUUAAAUUUUGAAGUUACUAUUGAACGUAUUUUGCUUUCCACACCCAUACCUACAGCCAGGCCUACAGCCUGAGCUGUAGAAUCAAGAAGUCCUUUAAAUAAAACCUGUCUGACAACAGGAAGUGGGCUAAAAGAUUUUAAAUAGCAUGGCAUCCUGCCCCCACCAAAAGAGUUUUAAGAACGGAUGAGAAGCAAACAAAGUCUUUGACGUUGAUUAGUCUGCAUUGGGUUUGUAUAAAUGGAAACUUUGAAACUUCUCGGGAAUGAGCAGUCUGCUAUAAUUACUUAAACACUGAUUCAUUCAGGAGAUUACGUAAACAUCUAUAACACUGCUGGCCUCCCCGGCCCAGCUAAAACCACUGUUGGCAAGAAAAGUUCAAAGAGUGCAAAGAUUCAUCUCAGAUUAGCCUGAAAGCAUCUUGAUGACAACUAAGAUAUUUGGGAAAUUAUUUGGUUGACUGACUAGAGCUACGUAGAAGAUUUUGGAAGAUGUGCAACCUGCUAUUUCUGGUGUAAUGCCAGCAAAUGUUUCAAAAAGAGAACAGCAUGCUGACAUUUAUAGUGGUUGAAAUGUGGUGAUCGGAACCUUUUUAUUGCUUUAUCAUUCUUAAUUGAUGAAAACAGGGAUUGUGACUUCUAGCCAAAGCUCAAUUAGGAGAAUAUCCAGCUCACUUACUGACUGAACUGAAACAGUUCUGCUAUUAGGUCUGGAUGCUUCCUUGUACAGAAAACCAAGUUGUUGUGGAUUGCUUUUUUUUUUUAUUUUUAACCAAAAUAAAUGUUAUCUGAAAUAGAUUAGAUUCAAUCUGUAACUUGAACUACUUAGGUUACCAUUGUCUGAGUAAAGCAUUUGUAAAGGAGACAUUGCGUUUUUCUUGAACACAUAAAGCUGUUCUGAAAAGAACUCAUGAAUCAUCUGACCUCUGUUUUGUUCCUCUUUUUACAGCAGCAAAAGCAAAUGGAAGAUAUUUAUGAAAACCGAUUGGAAAUUCAGCGCCGCCAAGUUUACCUCAACAAACCCUGACGUUGCUGCUGUUGACGCUGCUUUCAGUAGAACGUCGCAAGGGACACGGUGUUCUGAAUCCACCAUCUGCUCUUAAAUGCCCUCUUUAUGGUGAUAGCUAUGAGUCUCCGGCGAGGAAACGUGACAGAGGCAAUAUUUGUUUUUCCCAUGUUGAAUAGAACAGGCUUUAGUAUUCCACGCUGUUUGCUCUGUGGCUUAUCGCAGUCAUUGCUUUCCACAAAUAUUUAAAUUCAUCACACUUUUUGGACUUUACAUUACACAGGUUCUCUUUUCCUCCUAGUCAAAAGAGUUUUGUUAUAAACCACGACCACUGAGUAUUUUUGGAUUUCACUCAAACCACAGUGUGAUUCAAAGGUAGUUCCCAACUUCCAAUUACUCAACAUUUUUGUCAUCGGGCGAGAAGCAGAACAUCUUGGUCAGGUUGUGAGUCCAUCACAAAGGGAUACAAAACUCUUUGCCGAAAGACCCCAAACCAGGAUUCAAACCCAGGACUUUCUUGCAACAAUGCUAAGGUUGUAUCACUGCGCCAGUCUGAAGCCUCCAUAAAGUGUUAACAAAAAAUUUAAUAUAUUUUGGUUGUAUUUUAUUUUAUAUGGUAGACCAACACAUUGACGGAAAUUACUGGGGUGGCUUUCAAUAUGAUGUGCAUUUAAAUUAAGCUCCACUUACGCUGAAAUAGAGAUUUCCCAGAGUGUGAUUAAUUCCCAUAAAUCAGUCAGAGGUUUGUCUGAGCGCAUUACAGAAUAAUGAGGACCAAGAACAAUGGCGUACAGAUCAUGGCAAACAAGCGGAAGAAGAUGCUCCGGUCAGACAGAACGAAAUUGAAACUUUUCUACCCCAAUUUGGGGAAGGAAAUUACCACUUCAUAUUAUCCUUUAAGCUUGGUACAUAUUGUGGGACUUCAAAAGUCGUACAGGACUGAAACGCAGCACACUCUGUAAACUUGGUGCAAUAACUCUUGGCACACUGGAAAAUAGAAGAUCUGGAAAACAUUCAGAGGAAAAUCUCAUAACUUAUUUCCUGUAACCAUGACAGCAAGCUUGUGAUGGCUUCCUCCCGUGACUGUCAGUCACUCAGUUGUGCGACUGAUAGUUGCCCAACUGAGCGACUUCAAUAUUCAGACCGUUCACCUACUUCACACUUGGUCAGCUGAAGCUCUAUUGUUAUAUACGUCUGUUCUCAAAGGGGUUGGGUGUUAAAAACAACAAAACGGAGGCAUGGGUCUGUUUUUAGUUCUACCUUUAAUAAAGCAGGAAGCUACAAAUACCAACAGCUACAACAGAAAAUAAGACAUGCCAAGGAAUAUGUAAAUGCAAACUCAUGAAACAGAAUAAAAAUCUAAAAGCUGGAGCAGAAUGAAAAUUGCACAGCAAGAUAUAAGGCACAAAAAAUUAUUAAAAAUGCUUUUUUUCUUCUUGCAGCUAAUAAAUAGAAAAAGAAAUAUGAACAAUGAUAUGUGUUUAAAAAUAUUUCUUGCUUUGCUUACUAAAGCUUGCAAAAGCAAAAACAACAAAUGUCUACACAUAUAUUUGGACAUGAUUUGAAACGUCAAAAUGUCAGAACAAAACAGCAAGAAAGCAGAGAAAGCAGAUUUUGUAUGUUCCCAUUUUUGCCCGAGGCUGAACAAAAACUAUAAACUUAGAAUGUAGGCUUAUAACGUGGAUAAGAACACCAAGUUUUAAACACUGUAAGUGUAAAUGGUUUUUCUACACACAGGACACACAUUUAUAAAACAAAAAAUGAAAAUCACACAACUUUGUCUCUUUUAAGUGUAACCAGAUUUAGCUGUAAGGCACUUCAAUAAAAAAA